CUGUGCGGAGACUUCCGACUUACAGAACUGUGAGCUAUGUGGGAGGCUGACGCAGGAUAACAAGUUCGAGGCCAGUCUUGGCAACUUAGAGAAAUUUCUCACCAAAGUUAAAAAAAUUGCAAAAGGGCUGCAGAUGUAGUUCAGUGGCACAGCACUCUUGGGUUUGAUCCUCAGUACCAAGCAAACAAUCUCAAACAAACCAGCACCUCACUGUUUUGCACUACAGAUUUCCAAAAUACUCAUCUGGGUCUGGGACUUAGGAAAAUCAGCAUCAAUAUCUGUGACUGAAGAAGUCACCUAUUUAUAAACCCAACUCUUUUGGGUCUCCAGCGUGCUGACUUGCCCACUACAUCUUAAGACUUUAUUCUUCCAGGCCUUCAAACUUGGACUGGUACUGCCGCCUCCUUGAUCCUUAUUGUUUUGCAACUUCCAUCUUCUGUGGUUGAACAACUUCUGGAUCUUCUGUCUGUCCACACACACAGCCAUUAUAGAUUCUCCUGCCUCUGAUC